AGCGAACGCUGGCGGCAUGCUUAACACAUGCAAGUCGCACGGAUCUUUCGGGAUCAGUGGCGGACGGGUGAGUAACGCGUAGGGAUCUAUCCAUGGGUGGGGGACAACUCCGGGAAACUGGAGCUAAUACCGCAUGAUACCUGAGGGUCAAAGGCGCAAGUCGCCUGUGGAGGAACCUGCGUUCGAUUAGCUAGUUGGUGGGGUAAAGGCCUACCAAGGCGAUUAUCGAUAGCUGGUUUGGGAGGAUGAUCAGCCACCCUGGGACUGAGACAAGGCCGAGACUCCUACGGGAGGCAGCAGUGGGGAAUAUUGGACAAUGGGCGAAAGCAUGAUGCAGCAAGGCCGUGUGUGUGAAGAAGGUCUGCGGAUCGUAAAUCACUGUCGACGGGGACGAUGAUGACGGUACCCGUAGAAGAAGCCACGGCUAACUUCGUG
rnacentral:rRNA from 1 species